rnacentral:lncRNA from 1 species
ACGCCAAAUUACCCCCUAAAAUUUCAGCACCUCGGCUAGGGCCAUUUUUUUUUUUUUCGCAGAAAAUAAUCACCAUCCACCAACGCCAUCUAGCGACCACGAUACGCACCUUUAUGAAAUCCCCACUGGAGGAGGAGCUGAAUCACUAUCGAUCUCUACAACCAUUUCCAACAAUUAAUAUCGAUUUUAUCGUGCCAGUGCAGAUACAGGUGAAUAUCUCUGUGAUAAUAAAUUUGUUUUUGUUUUCUAAACGUUCAUCAAUUACAGGUUUUCAAUACUGUUUAUCUCGCUUGUUGCAAUAACAUACCAGUUUAUCUCGCGUUGAAAUGGACGACGCUGUCUGGAGUGUUGCGUUAAUUUGGUCGAUUAAAACCGCAUUAAGUGUCCUCAGUGUCGCAGAUUCACUCCGGUUAGUGCCGGGCAAAUCUCUGUGAAUGAUGAUCUCCAAACCGAUCACGAUUUGAUGGCCCUACUUCUGCAAACAAAAACAAAUUUAUUAUCACAGAGACAUUCACCUGUAUCUGCCACUGGCACGAUAAAAUUGAUAUUAAUUGUU